rnacentral:lncRNA from 1 species
UCGCAUUAGCUCUAGGUGUGAAGUUUAAUACAACAAGCACAAUGAUGACUUUACUGAGCAUUAAAGAAUUGUCAAAUGAACAUCUAGAGAGGACCUAAAUAAGCAUCUGUUGAACUUCAUGGGAUCUGCAUGAGUACAAUUUGCUCGUAGUAAGUCAAGAGGCCAUCAAAUUGAAUUUUUUUUCAUCCUCACUGACCGGGGAGACAGCUCUUUGGCUAAAUGAAUUACCUGACGUCUCCAUUACAAUUUAGGCAGAUUUGACUACAUCUUUUCUAUGGAGGUUAUUCCCUCCAUCCUGAAUGAUACAAUUGAGAGAUGAAAUAACAACUUUAUACGGUUAUCAGAUGAAGCCUUGCAUGAAGCUCAACUUAGGUUUAAGAAAAAGCUGAAAUAGUUUUCCAAUCAUAAGUUGCCAAAUGACGUCCUUCAUGAAGUGUUCUACAGAUCGGUGAAUUCCAC